rfam:Tetranychus urticae London genomic scaffold, scaffold_42
AAACUGCCUUUGCAGUGAGUUCCUUUAGAUCAUGAUGUUCGUCCGCAUCAAAACCAAAAGAUGAGGGAAACCGCGAAUGUAUGAAACAAGAGCUGGAGAGACAAGCUGAACACUUGGAAAAAUGUUCAAACGAUCUAAUAGGGGUCCCCUCGCCGCAAGGUGAGGGGAUCCCUAUUUCACGUUAGGCAAAAUUGUUGUCAAAAUCGCGAAGAACCAUGAUGAGCACAUGUAAAAAUGCUCGAUGAUCUAAAGGGGUCCCCUCACUGUAAGGUGGGGGGAUCCCUUUUUCACUUUAGAGCAAAGAUGUGGUGAAAAUCACAAUACCCGUAAAGUCAAAGGGUUCGAUUCCGGAGAGGGAGCCUGAGAAACGGCUACCACAUCUAAGGAAGGCAGCAGGCGCGCAAAUUACACAAUCCCAGUACGGGGAUGUAGUGACGAAAAAUAACAAUACGGGACUCUAUUGAGGCCCCGUAAUUGGAAUGAGUACAAUUUAAAUCCUUUAACGAGGAUCUAUUGGAGGGCAAGUCUGGUGCCAGCAGCCGCGGUAAUUCCAGCUCCAAUAGCGUAUAUUAAAGUUGCUGCGGUUAAAAAGCUCGUAGUUGGAUUUCAGUCGAACCUAUGGGGUCCACUGAUUAAAGGGUUAGAUGGUGAUGUUAGGUUUCUUGCUUGUGUCUACGGAUGCUUGCUUGAACCUUCAUUCCUCUUUCCUGGUGGUUACAUUCAUAGUGUUUAGACAGAAAAUUGCUCGAUAUUUGCUAUCAAUGCUCUUUACCGAGUGUUGAUUCAAGCGAUCGAGACUUUUACCUUGAAAAAAUCAGAGUGCUCAAAGCAGGCGUCCAAAACCUCGAAAGAGGUGCCUAAAAACGGUAUGGUCAACCAUCUAUAUGAUGCGUACCACUACCUUAACUUGAAUGAUCUUGCAUGGAAUAAUGGAAUAGGACCUUGGUUCUAUUUUGUUGGUCUUAAGAAUCCAAGGUAAUGAUUAAGAGGGACAGACGGGGGCAUUUGUAUUGCGGCGCUAGAGGUGAAAUUCUUGGACCGUCGCAAGACAAACUACAGCGAAAGCAUUUGCCAAGAAUGUUUUCAUUAAUCAAGAACGAAAGUUAGAGGUUCGAAGGCGAUCAGAUACCGCCCUAGUUCUAACCAUAAACGAUGCCAACCAGCGAUCAUUCUGAGUAACUAAUUUCAUGACUCGAAUGGAAGCUUCCGGGAAACCAAAGUUUUUGGGUUCCGGGGGAAGUAUGGUUGCAAAGCUGAAACUUAAAGGAAUUGACGGAAGGGCACCACCAGGAGUGGAGCUUGCGGCUUAAUUUGACUCAACACGGGAAAACUCACCCGGCCCGGACACUGAGAGGAUUGACAGAUUGAGAGCUCUUUCUUGAUUCAGUGGGUGGUGGUGCAUGGCCGUUCUUAGUUGGUGGAGUGAUUUGUCUGGUUAAUUCCGAUAACGAACGAGACUCUAGCCUACUAAAUAGACUUGCAGUUUACACUGCAGUACUCCCCCUUAGUCAACCUGUGGGUGGUAGUAUCUCUUGAUGGUUUCGGCUGUUGAGGGCUCUGCUGCUAUUAGCCUACAGAAUUGGCUAGGGUAAGGAUGCUGUAGCACUGUAAGGACUUCUUAGAGGGACAAGCGGCGCUCGCAGCCGCACGAAACAGAGCAAUAACAGGUCUGUGAUGCCCUUAGAUGUCCGGGGCCGCACGCGUGCUACACUGAAGUGGUCAUCGUGCAUACUGUUUCCUGCUCCGAAAGGAGUGGGUAACCGCUUGAACCCAUUUCGUGAUGGGGAUUGGGCAUUGUAAUUAUUGCCCAUGAACGAGGAAUUCCCAGUAAGCGUGAGUCAUUAGCUUGCGUUGAUUACGUCCCUGCCCUUUGUACACACCGCCCGUCGCUACUACCGAUUGAAUGAUUUAGUGAGGACUUCGGACUGGUCAAUCCAGACCAUUGGGAAACUAGUGGUCGGAUUGUGCUGGAAAGAUGUUCAAACUUGAUCAUUUAGAGGAAGUAAAAGUCGUAACAAGGUUUCCGUAGGUGAACCUGCGGAAGGAUCAUUA